CAAGCUCUCAGUUUCGAUCCUUAUUAGGGAUUGCCUCAAGUUUUCAACUUCUUCCUCUAGUUUCAUCUUUCUCAGCAGCAUAUCCCGAUACAUCUGGUUGAAUCACCAGCUCUCACCCUCCGACUCUCAAAGUCUCUUCCUCAAGACCUCAGACUCUACCUCGGUAUCUUUGACUACCUACUGCUCGUGGACCAACUGAAUCUUCAACCACUGCAGUUCGGCCUCCUCCCGCCCA
rnacentral:lncRNA from 1 species